AUUGAACGCUGGCGGCAGGCCUAACACAUGCAAGUCGAGCGAGCGGCGGACGGGUGAGUAAUGUCUGGGAAACUGCCUGAUGGAGGGGGAUAACUACUGGAAAAGGUAGCUAAUACCGCAUACCAUCAGAUGGGCCCAGAUGGGAUUAGCUAGUAGGUGGGGGAAAGGCUCACCUAGGCGACGAUGCCUAGCUGGUCUGAGAGGAUGACCAGCCACAGUGGAACUGCGGCACGGCCCAGCGUCCUACGGGUGGCAGCAGUGGGGAAGAUUGCACAAUGGGUGCAAGCUGGAUGGAGCCCUGCCGCGUGUGUGAAGAAGGCUUUCGGGUUGUAAAGCACUUUCAGCGGUGAGGCGUUACCCGCAGAAGAAGCACCUGCUAACUCCGUGCCAGCCGCCGCGGUAAUAC
rnacentral:rRNA from 1 species